UACAGAGGGGGCUAGCGUUGUUCGGAAUUACUGGGCGUAAAGCGCGCGUAGGCGGCUUUUCAAGUCGAUUGUGAAAUCCCCGGGCUUAACCUGGGAACUGCAGUCGAGACUGUCUAGCUAGAGUAUGGGAGAGGGAAGUGGAAUUUCAGGUGUAGCGGUGAAAUGCGUAGAUAUCUGAAGGAACAUCAGUGGCGAAAGCGACUUCCUGGACCAAUACUGACGCUCAUGUGCGAAAGCGUGGGGAGCAAACAGG
rnacentral:rRNA from 1 species